UCUUUCUUUGCUGGCGACCGGCGCACGGGUGAGUAACACGUAUCCAACCUGCCCUUUACUCGGGGAUAGCCUUUCGAAAGAAAGAUUAAUACCCGAUAGCAUAAUGAUUCCGCAUGGUUUCAUUAUUAAAGGAUCCGGUAAAGGAUGGGGAUGCGUUCCAUUAGUUUGUUGGCGGGGUAACGGCCCACCAAGACUACGAUGGAUAGGGGUUCUGAGAGGAAGGUCCCCCACAUUGGAACUGAGACACGGUCCAA
rnacentral:rRNA from 1 species